UACGUAGGGAGCAAGCGUUGUCCGGAAUCAUUGGGCGUAAAGCGCGCGUAGGCGGCCAGAUUAGUCCGGUGUGAAAGUCAGAGGCUCAACCUUUGAAUGCCGCUGGAAACUGUCUGGCUUGAGUCCGGAAGGGGCGAGUGGAAUUCCUGGUGUAGCGGUGAAAUGCGCAGAUAUCAGGAGGAACACCAAUGGCGAAGGCAGCUCGCUGGAACGGUACUGACGCUGAGGCGCGAAAGCGUGGGGAGCAAACAGG
rnacentral:rRNA from 1 species